AUGUCUGUAAAGCACAGUUUCACUUUCCAAAGCAGAGGGAGCAAACAUGCACUGAAAAGUCCACCAGCAGCUUGUAAGAACCCAUAGGACUCCUCCAGUUCUUCCUCUGAGUAUCCCAUGCCUCUCCUUCCAGUUCGGAAGGCCUCAUACUGUCCAACAACAAGAAAGAGGGGGGGCGGUGCACUGAGGGGUAAGCAGGUGGAUUAAAAAGUUACCAAGUCGUCAAAUAUACUGACCCGUUCUUGCAGGGUGGUAUUCUUUAUCAAGAAAGCAGAGUUGUAUCUGAAAGACUGCUUGGACUCCUCAUACAUGUACAUGUUCUGCAGUGGAGGCAGAAUACUGUUGUCGAAGGGCUCAGAACCUGGUAGUACAGGUAACAAAACACCUGGUGGUUGGAACAGGAUGAAUAUUAAAUAGUGACUUUACCGCAGGGUUGUAAAUUGUUAUGUUUUGUACCAACAGUUGCCAUGCAUUUGUAACUACCCAUAUUGAUAUAUUAUAUAAUUGUUUCGAUUAUAUUCUAGGCUAUUCUAUACUAGGUGCCUUGCAUUGGUAACUACCACAUGUAUGAUUGAAAAUACUAUUACAUUCUAUUCUAGGUGUCACACAUUUGUAACAACCAUACUGAUUCUAUUCUGUUUUCAAUUCUAUUCUAGGUGUUAUGCAUCUGUAAUAACCAUAUUGAUUCUAUUCCAUUUUCAAUUCUAUUCUAGGUGUCAUGCAUCUGUAAUAACCAUAUUGAUUCUAUUCCAUUUUCAAUUAUAUUCUAGGUGUCAUGCAUCUGUAAUAACCAUACUGAUUCUAUUCCAUUUUCAAUUAUAUUCUAGGUGUGUUAUGCAUUUGUAACAACCAUAUUGAUUAUAUUUCGUCUUCAAUUC